rnacentral:rRNA from 1 species
AGAGUUUGAUCAUGGCUCAGGAUGAACGCUGGCGGCGUGCUUAACACAUGCAAGUCGAACGGACUUUAUAUGAAGCCUAGCGAUUAUAAAGUUAGUGGCGGACGGGUGAGUAACGCGUGAAUAACCUGCCCUGUACCGGGGGACAACAGUUGGAAACGGCUGCUAAUACCGCAUAAGCGCACGGUUCCGCAUGGAACAGUGUGAAAAACUCCGGUGGUACAGGAUGGAUUCGCGUCUGAUUAGCCAGUUGGUGGGGUAACGGCCUACCAAAGCAACGAUCAGUAGCCGGCCUGAGAGGGUGAACGGCCACGAUUGGGGACUGGAGACACGGCCCAAACGUCCUACGGGAGGCA